UUUUAUUAUAGAGUUAGAACCACCAGCGUUAUAGACUAUAGUUAACUCAAGGAAGGUAUCUAUAAUUGGCAUUUAAAAGAGACCAUUCACUAUCCCAGUCCAUAAAAAGAAAUCAGGAUGAAGAUUACAAGAAUGCAUCUAAGCGUUGUGCAGCUUUUGAUUGCUAUUAUGCUUUUUCUCAACAUUGAUGAAGUUGAGGGCUUUUCAAAGAAGGACCAUGAAGAAUUGGAGAGGCAACUAAAGCUUUUAAAUAAGCCAUCAGUCAAAACUAUUAAUGUAGAUUCUUAUUCUUUGUUUUGGUCCAAUCUCAAAAUAAUUGAUCCAUCUGUUUUAUUUUCAAUUAUAUAUGUCACUUUUCAUAGAGCUAAAAAAGAUGUUACACAUAAAUAUCUAUACUUAAAAUCAGUAACAAGCUCUAUUGUUUUGUAGACCGAAUAUGAAGAUAUUUAUGACUUUUUGAAUUUCUAUCUACAACCUGCAUUUGAUCAUCCUUUACUAAAGAAUUAUACUUAUCAUCCUCAGAUGAAACCGUCUUUCGCCCAGUUAAAGAGAGACAAAGAAUCCGCAACAUCCAAUAGAUCCUCCAAAAUCGGGCCGAGAGAUGGAGGUUGUCCAAUGGGAAUAGUUCCUAUUAGAAGAACUACCAAAGAAGAUCUCAAUAGAGAAAGAAGAUUUAAUUCUAUUUAUGCUGGUGGCAUCUUUCGCGUAAGCUGCUCCUUUAUAAAUUAUUUUUGUUUAUCCUAGUCUACUAAGAUGGGAAUUGAAAUAAUUAUAAACAACAAAUUAAACACCUUCCAAGUGGUAACUUCACUAUUGUCAUCACUUAUCAUCUUUACCGGAGCUCUUUCUAUGAUUAUGGAUUUGUGGUACAUAUGGACGUUAAUCUCAAUGCGGCUUGCCUUUAUAUUUGUUUCUAUACCUCAUUAAGAACUUGCAAUUUGUUUCAAAAAAGAAAUAUUUUUAUUAUCAACCAAUGUGAGCAUAUCUUGUUACUUAUUCUGCUUUGAACAUUUAAUUUCGGGAGCUGGAACAACAAGUAGUAUUUAUAAUCCAAAUGUUCUUCCGAACCAGUGGAGUGCAUCCGUCGUGAAGGUACAAAAUGGCCUUCACCAAAUACAAGUUGGGUGGCGUGUGGAUCCAAUUCUGUACGGUGAUACUCGUACUCGAUUUAUUUCAUUAUUUAAAGCACAACUCAAUGCUUCAACACGUUAUUUCUGACUUUCACACCUGAACAAAUAUUCGAUCAGGCAUUCUUCAUACAAAGGGUUAGAUAAAUACCAUACUGAAAUUUCAUCUCAUUUGAAAAGUAAUUAAGAGCAUAUAUAAUCAUUUUUCAUUACUACGUACAAUGUAUGAACAUACAUAAUCUUUUGUGUCUCUCUCUCUCUAUAUAUAUAUAUAUCCAACGCAUGAUCUGAUGAAUGGAAGAUGGUGGCUACGUGUUGGUCGUGAUUUCAAACAAAUAUGUUUAUGGCCUCCAGAGCUUUUCAUGGGAUUAAAGAGUUUUGUAUCACAGGCGUGGGGUGGAGAGGCAUUUAGUUCAGUCCCUACUUUCCCUCCAAUGGGUUCUGGUCAUUUUCCUGGACGUGUAAAUACUGAUAAAGAUGCAUAUUGUAGCAAAAUUUCAAUUCUGGAUUUUGCUGGCAAAACUCAGGAUUCCGGGGCUCUAGUAUCCGAGUUUGAAGAUGCUUACGCACUCUACCGGGUUCUUGAUGAACCAAUUACCAAAUAAGGCUUUUGGGCAUACGGUAUACAUACAUAUAUAUAUAUAUAUAUAGUGUGUGUGUGUUUGUGUGUGUGUGUGUGUGUGUGUGUGUGUAUGUAUGUAUGUGUGUGUGUGUGUAUAUAUAUAUCCAACGUGGAUCUGAAGAAUGGAAGAUGGUGGAUGCAUGUUGGUCGUGAUUUCAAAAAAAUAGGUUUCUGGCCUCCAAAGCUUUUCACGGAAUUAAAGGGUUUUACAUCACAGGUGGCAUGUGGUGGAGAGGCAUUUAGUUCAGUCCCUACUCUCCCUCUUAUGGGUUCUGGUCAUUUUCCUGGAUGUGUAAAUAUUGAUAAAGAUGCAUAUUGUAGCAAAAAUUUAAUUCUAGAUUUUGUUGGCAA